AUUGAACGCUCGCGGCAGGCUUUACACAUGCAAGUCGAGCGAGCGGCGGACGGGCGAGUAAUGUCCGGGAAACUGCCUCAUGGAGGGGGAUAUCUACUUGAAACGGUAGCUAAUACCGCAUACAAUCGGAUGUGCAAAGAUGGGAUUUGCUAGUAGAUGGGGUAAAGGCACACCUAGGCGACGAUCCCUAGCUGGACUGAGAGGAUGACCAGCCAGAUGGGAACUGAUACACGGUCCAGACGUCUACGGAGGGCAGCAGUGGGGAAUAUUUCGCAAUGGGCGCAAGCCUGAUGCGGCCAUGCCGCGUGUAUGAAGAAGGCCUGCGGGUUGUAAAAUACUGUCAGCGGGGAGGCGUUACCCGCAGAAGAAGCACCGGCUAACUCCGUGCCAGCCGCCGCGGUAAUUC
rnacentral:rRNA from 1 species